rnacentral:rRNA from 1 species
AGUCACUGACAUUAGAUACCCCUGUAGUCCCAGCCGUAAACAAUGUGCGUUAGGUGUGUCGGUAACCACGCGUUACUGAUGCGCCGAAGAGAAAUCGUGAAACGCACCACCUGGGAAGUACGGUCGCAAGGCUGAAACUUAAAGGAAUUGGCGGGGGAGCACCACAACAGGUGGAGCCUGCGGUUUAAUUGGAUUCAACGCCGGAUAUCUCACCGGAUAAGACAGCUGAAUGAUUGUCAAUCUGAAGGUUUUACAUGACUAGCUG